UACAGAGGUCUCAAGCGUUGUUCGGAUUCAUUGGGCGUAAAGGGUGCGUAGGCGGCGCGGUAAGUCGGGUGUGAAAUCUCGGAGCUUAACUCCGAAACUGCAUUCGAUACUGCCGUGCUUGAGGACUGGAGAGGAGACUGGAAUUUACGGUGUAGCGGUGAAAUGCGCAGAUAUCAGGAAGAACACCCGUGGCGAAGGCGGCUCUCUGGGACGGUACUGACGCUGAGACGCGAAAGCGUGGGGAGCAAACAGG
rnacentral:rRNA from 1 species